UGAGGAAUUUUCCGCAAUGGGCGAAAGCCUGACGGAGCAAUACCGCGUGGAGGAGGAAGGCCCGUGGGUCGUAAAAUACUUUUCUCAGAGAAGAACACAAUGACGGUAUCAGAGGAAAAAGCAGCGGCUAACUCCGAUCCAGCAGCCGCGUUAAUACGGAGGAUGAAAGAGUUAUCCGGACAGCUUGUGAGUACAGCAGCGGUAGGCGCGUGUGGAAGGCUACGGGUGAGUCCCGGUGCUGCACGUUGG
rnacentral:rRNA from 1 species